UUUUUUUAUUUUAUAAAGAUUUGUAUUUUUCCAUUACAGCUGGUUUACAAUGUACUGUCAAUUUUCUACUAUCCAGCAAGGUGACCCAGUCACACAUACAUAUAUACAUUCUUUUUUCUCACAUUAUCAUGCUCCAUCACAAGUGACUAGAUAUAGUUCCCUGUACUAUACAGCAGGAUCUCAUUGCUUAUCCAUUCCAAAGCCAAUAGUUUGCAUCUAUUCACCCCAAAUUCCUAGUCCAUCCCACUCCUUCGCCCUCUCCCUUGGCAAUCACAAGUAUGUUCUCCAAGUCCAUGAGUUUCUCUUCUGUGGAAAGGUUCAUUUGUGCCAUAUAUUAGAUUCCAGAUAUAAGUGGUAUCAUAUGGUAUUUGUCUUUCUCUUCCUGACUUACUGCACUUAGUAUGAGAGUCUCUAGUUCCAUCCAUGUGGCUGCAAAUGGCAUUAUUUUGUUCUUUUUUAUGGUUGAGCAGUAUUCCAUUUGUAUACAUACCACAUCUUCCUAAUAUGUUGAUGGACAUUUAGGUUGUUUCCAUGUCUUGGCUAUUGUGAAUAGUGCUGCAAUGAACAUAGGGGUGCAAGUGCCUUUUUCAAGAAAAGUUUUGUCUGGAUAUAUGCCCAAGAGCGGGAUUGCUGGGUCAUAUGGGAAUUCAUAAUUGUUCACAGUAUUCUCUUAUGGUGUUUUGUAUUUCUGCAGUAUCCAUUGUGGUUUCUCCUUUUUCAUUUCUUAAUUGGGGUUUUUCUCUCCUCUUCUUGGUGAGUCUGAUCAGAGGUUUGUCAAUUUUGUUUACCCUUUCAAAGAACCAGCUCUUGGUUUUAUUGAUUUUUUUCUAUUGUUUUUUGAAUAUCUAUUUGAUUGAUUUCCUCUCUGAUCUUUAUGAUUUCCUUCCUUCUUCUGACGUUAGGUUUUGUUGGCUCUUUUUCUAAUUCAUUUAGGUGGAGGGUUAAGUUGUCAAUUUGAGAUCUUUCUUCUUUUUUGAGGAAGGCCUGUAUUGCUAUGAAUUUCCCUCUGAGCAGUGCUUUUGCAUAAUCCCAUAUAUUCUGAGUGGUUGUGUCUUCGUUAUCGUUUGUUUCUCCAAGUAUUUUNUGAUUUCCUCAUUGACCCAUCAGUUUUUUUAGUUGCAUGUUGUUUAGACUCCAUGUAGUAAGUUUUUCUCAUUUCUUUUCUUGUGGUUUAUUUCUACUUUCAUGUCGUUGUGGUCAGAGAAGAUAUUUGAAAUAAUUUCUAUACUCUUAAAUUUGUUGAGGUUAGCUUUGUUUCCCAGUAUGUGAUCGAUCCUUGAGAAUGUUCCAUC
rnacentral:lncRNA from 1 species